rnacentral:lncRNA from 1 species
GGUUUUGCUGUCCUUUUUUACUUCUUCACAGGAAAGAAAGGCCUAGAAUAAUUUCUUAUUGUGGCAGUAAAAUCUCAUUUAACAUUCUCAGCUCUUUAUUGUAGAAUGACUUCUAUAUAGCACUACAACUCAUGUGUAAAGAGGAAGGAGAAGGACCUUUGGAAGCCUCUGGUCCCAUCACACCUGGAAUGCCAUCCUCUUCUGCAUGGAGGAAGCCCCCUAAGGCCAUCUCAUCUACUUGUAAAAAGUCUCUUUUCUGCUGUGGUGCCUGUAAGAAACUGUUGAACAGCUGCUGUUUAACAGUUUGAGUGAGGUGGCUGUAAAACAGGAGCUAAAAUAAAAGCGUAAGAAACUGAUACA